UGUGGAGGUGUAACUUCCCCUAGGAGUAACCACUGGGAAGGAGGCGAUGCUCAUUAAGUGUGUGAUAUGCAACCGGUUCAGAACUCUGCCUGUCCACUGAGAGAGCCUUUCACUGCUGCCUGGCAAGCCCGACAUUUGAACUCGCUCAGGGGGAAAAAAAGAGAGUGGAUUUUACUUUUCAAAGUGGAAAGAAUACCUUCGUCGGGGGCAGCUUUCCUUUCCGUAGCAUCCAGGAGAAGUUGGGAACUGUACAUAGCUAAGACAAAGACAAUUUGCUGAUUUCUUUUGUGCUGUUCUGAUUGAACACAAAUGCGUGUCUUUUGGGAGGGAGGGAGAAAAGGAGAAGAGUUUGCUACUGGUGGAAUGCAUACAAUGCAGGAAGAAGUGUGUUCACACAACUAGGAGGAAGCAUGAACUGUUGAAUGCAUCUGGAGCAUGGCUGCCAUGUGCUUCUCUUGGACGCCAGCGGCUACAGAGCUGCAGGUGUUUUCCUGGAGACACAAAAGUUAACAAGGAUAGAGGUGUUGGCCAACAGCCAGAAGGAUAAAAUUGCCCAGAAGAGAAAGAUGAGGAACUACAAGAGUCGUCCCAUGCUGAGUUUUUGUACCUUUGUGGCUCUCGAAGCAAACACAUAGAUCUCCCCUUGGCAGAUGGACUGGUCCCAUUUCUACCCUUUCACAUCCAGCCUGAAGAUCAGCAUCAUUCCUAUUUUCUAGUUGGAGAUGGAACCAAGGUGGAGAUUGCAGUUUACCAAAGGCUAUUGUAUGACUGAGCAAAAAUGUGGAUGCAGGAAUCACAGCUCCGAACAAGUACCAUGCCCACUGAGCUGUUUCUUUGUAGCUCCCAAAUACCCCAAUCACCCAGACAUUGUCCAGACUGAGACCUCCUUCGCUUGAAGAGUGAAGUGCAUCAUGGACCCUCAAGAUUAUUCCCGGGCCUCACGAGUUUCUAAAUUGCAUCUUAGGAAGUCCUUUAUUCAGGAGCAAGCAGGAGAGAAGAGAGAGACAUGGGCAAGAAGUUCUCCAGAAAGAAAACCACCCCUGCUUCUUACCUGGGCUGUCAGGAGAAUCCCAGCUGACUUCUCUAACUUCCUGUCCUGCAAGUUUCUGCUGGGUUAGAGGAACACAGAAAGAAAGGAAAUGAAUCAGACAAGAGGGACCUGCGCCUCCUCACCCUCCUGUCACUCUGCCCAUUUUGCCAGGGAAGAAGGCAAGGGUUUUUUUGUGUGUGUGUGUCUUUCUCUCUCCCCUCCCUCCCCCCCCAUAUAACACACCCCCUUGCCUGUCUCUCCACCAAUGAGUUUGGCUUUGCAAAUGCGUCUUCUGUGCCUUGAGUCAUCGGCCACGAUCACUUCACAGCAAUGAAACCGCAGAAUCCCCUUCCAAAAGCGAGCGCUGGAACUCAACAAAACUCAGUUCUGGCACGUCUCAUGUGGGUGCUAUUGGCAUUCUAAGAAAAUGAGGGAAGUGUUUUCAUGGUGCAUGGAUUCAUAAACCAGAUGUUGCCAGAAUGGUUUGAAAGAUGAUAUAUACACACAGUUUGCGAUGCCAGUCAGCACCGUUAAAGGCCAAGAUUAAUGCAAUGGAUUGGUGCGGCUGUGUCGCAGUGGAGCGUGAUCAGAAUACGAGAUGGAAGAUAGGGGGAAAGGGCAAGAAAGUGCUGGUGCUUAGAGUUUGUACAAGUCUCCUUAGCAACUUGUCUGACAUCUUUUUUU